CAUGAACGCUAGCGGCAGGCUUAAUACAUGCAAGUCGUGGGGCAGCAGGGGUGUAGCAAUACAUCUGCUGGCGACCGGCAAACGGGUGCGUAACACGUACGCAACCUUCCCGUUACUGUGGCAUAGCCCAGGGAAACUUGGAUUAAUACCACAUAUUAUAUAGAGAGGGCAUCCUUUUUAUAUCAAAGCUUCGGCGGUAACGGAUGGGCGUGCGGUUGAUUAGGUAGUUGGCGGGGUAACGGCCCACCAAGCCUACGAUCAAUAGCUGAUGUGAGAGCUUGAUCAGCCACACGGGCACUGAGACACGGGCCCGACUCCUACGGGAGGCAGCAGUAAGGAAUAUUGGGCAAUGGACGAAAGUCUGACCCAGCCAUGCCGCGUGAAGGAUUAAGGUCCUCUGGAUUGUAAACUUCUUUUCUCUGGGGCGAAAACCAGCUAUUCUUAGCUAUUUGACAGUACCAGAGGAAUAAGCACCGGCUAACUCCGUGCCAGCAGCCGCGGUAAAAC
rnacentral:rRNA from 1 species